GGAAUUUCCCUUAAAAAAAGGGAAAGGUUGACAGCUAUGCAUUUGGCAUGUGUGUAUAUAUAUAUAUAUAUAUAUAUAUAUAUAUAUAUAUACAUGCACACAAGUUCCAUGUUUGAUCCUAAGGUGUGC